rnacentral:rRNA from 6 species
UGACUCUCGGCAACGGAUAUCUCGGCUCUCGCAUCGAUGAAGAACGUAGCAAAAUGCGAUACUUGGUGUGAAUUGCAGAAUCCCGCGAACCAUCGAGUCUUUGAACGCAAGUUGCGCCCGAGGCCACCAGGCCGAGGGCACGCCUGCCUGGGCGUCACGCCUC